rnacentral:piRNA from 1 species
UUGAUCCUUUCACCUUCGCCUUUACACUGC